UACAUAGGGGGCAAGCGUUAUCCGGAAUUAUUGGGCGUAAAGCGUGCGUAGGCGGUUUAUUAAGUCUGGUGUGAAAUCCCACAGCUUAACUGUGGAGGGUCAUUGGAAACUGAUAAACUUGAGUACGGUAGAGGUAAGUGGAAUUCCAAGUGGAGCGGUGGAAUGCGUAGAGAUUUGGAGGAACACCAGUGGCGAAGGCGGCUUACUGGGCCGUUACUGACGCUGAGGCACGAAAGCGUGGGGAGCAAAC
rnacentral:rRNA from 1 species